AGCGAUUCUCUUCGGAGAAGAGCGGCGGACGGGUGAGUAACGCGUGGGUAACCUGCCCUGUACACACGGAUAACAUACCGAAAGGUAUGCUAAUACGGGAUAACAUAAGAAAUUCGCAUGUUUUUCUUAUCAAAGCUCCGGCGGUACAGGAUGGACCCGCGUCUGAUUAGCUAGUUGGUGAGGUAAUGGCUCACCAAGGCGACGAUCAGUAGCCGACCUGAGAGGGUGAUCGGCCACAUUGGAACUGAGACACGGUCCAAACUCCUACGGGAGGCAGCAGUGGGGAAUAUUGCACAAUGGGCGAAAGCCUGAUGCAGCAACGCCGCGUGAGCGAUGAAGGCCUUCGGGUCGUAAAGCUCUGUCCUCAAGGAAGAUAAUGACGGUACUUGAGGAGGAAGCCCCGGCUAACUACGUGCCAGCAGCCGCGGUAAUACGUAGGGGGCUAGCGUUAUCCGGAUUUACUGGGCGUAAAGGGUGCGUAGGCGGUCUUUUAAGUCAGGAGUGAAAGGCUACGGCUCAACCGUAGUAAGCUCUUGAAACUGGAGGACUUGAGUGCAGGAGAGGAGAGUGGAAUUCCUAGUGUAGCGGUGAAAUGCGUAGAUAUUAGGAGGAACACCAGUAGCGAAGGCGGCUCUCUGGACUGUAACUGACGCUGAGGCACGAAAGCGUGGGGAGCAAACAGG
rnacentral:rRNA from 1 species